UUGAAAUGUGGCAUACCCGUUUUUGGUGAAUUACUCUGAUGAUUAUUUGUUAUUUAUUUACAUUUGGGUAACGGGGUGUUACAAUUUG
rfam:Medicago truncatula strain A17 chromosome 3, whole genome shotgun sequence.